rnacentral:rRNA from 1 species
GAACCGUACAAACGUUAUUCGGAAUCACUGGGCUUAAAGGGUGCGUAGGCGGCCAUGUAAGUGAGGUGUGAAAUCCCUCGGCUCAACCGAGGAACUGCGCUUCAUACUGCAUGGCUUGAGGGAGACAGGGGUAAGCGGAACUGAUGGUGGAGCGGUGAAAUGCGUUGAUAUCAUCAGGAACACCGGUGGCGAAAGCGGCUUACUGGGUCUCUUCUGACGCUGAGGUACGAAAGCUAGGGGAGCGAACGGGAUUAGAUACCCCGGUAGUCCUAGCUGUAAACGAUGAGCACUUAUCUGGGGAUCCUCCCAUAGGUUCCCGGAUGUAGCGAAAGUGUUAAGUGCUCCGCCUGGGGAGUAUGGUCGCAAGGCUGAA